ensembl:lncRNA
CGUUUAUCCCUCACCAGCUGUUAAAGGCACGAACUCGGCAGCCCCCAGCACACGGAUCGCCUUGGCCCACAGCACCCAGUACCACCGCCAGGCGCUGAGCAUAGCGUGCCUCCACUCAGAGCUCCGGCUCUGCCACAGAGCACGGCCUCAUUAUGCAGCGGUUCAUCCCCAUUCGUUGUUCUACUCGGCCCGCGUAGUAAUGCUGAGACUGCGUUUGAAGGUAUUUUCCAUCCUAUUACUGAGCAGUGCAGCUCUUGUGAACUCCUGCUCCCUGUACCGGCAUGCCUGCUUUCAAUAGGGCAGGUUAAUGAUCUCUCAUCUAAUGCUGGAAAGCAAAUUUGAAUAGUGCACUUUGUGAAAAAUAGAUUGCGAGGCGAGAGCAAUCAUUCACAAGUGCCAGCCCAGCACAUUCCCAUAUAUUUCAGUGGAACGAAUAACUUCUGGUACAAGAGAAGUUAAUUAAAGAAAGAGAACUACAAGAAGUACUGGAAUAUUUCACAAGACGUAACAUUUAUGUAAGAACCCAGAGCUGCCUGGCACCACCUUGGCAGCAGGCUGGGGAUGCACGGGGAUGCGUCCCAUGGAACUUGCAGAGGAAAAACACAGCAGAAUGAGCCCUUCAUCCACAUUGGAAGAUAAUGAGGUGUACGGUCACAGCUGCUGAGUCACGGCCUGAACCACUGAUUGAGCACCUGGGGAAAGGACUCGGUCAGUCCUGGGAGCGCAGGUGCAGGCAAUUCAGCUGUGUGACCAGAAGGGGUGGAGCCUGGCUGCACCUCUCUUAGAUCUCAUUCAAGGGUUGCCCUCUACUGGUGAAGGAUCUUUGGGUAGAGGUUUGCCUGUCUGUUGUAGAGCCUUUCCUGGGAGCCUAGAUCUUUGGAGACAGGAGAGGUGCUCCAGUUGUAUGAUCAUCUUCAUGGCCUUCUUCUGGACUCACCCCAACAGCUCAGAAUCUUUCUUGUGAUGGGUUCCCCAGGCCUGGACGCAAUACUCCAGAUGGAGUUAUUCACUUUAUCUGGCCACAUCCACUGCCCUGAACUAUCUUGCAUAGCUUCUCACCCUGGAUGCUUGCAACAUCUGUCCUUACUGCUUCCCAGCUGUCUAUGCUCCUUCAAUCCUACUGACUCUCAAGGCUGGACAACACAGAAGCACAGAUCUGUUUUUAUGGUCUACCUUGCCAAAGCUCACCCAGCAGAUAGCUCUUGUCCUCAGCAAACCAGCUCUGUGGUUACAGGCAUUAACCAGGGAGUUACUCGUCUCCCUGAAGUCCUAACUACAAGUCAAGGACAAAAAUUUAGAUAAGCACUUGUUCUGUUGCCAAAGCAUCAGUUGACAGUAAACGUGAUUGAAUUGGGAUAAACAUGACAGGAUAGAAGGAUCUGUGGAGUACCAGUACUCCACAGUACUUUAGUACUUGCAGGUAUUUGCCUUGCUUUUACUUCUAGUGUAAAUGAUGCGAGAUCAUGCUUCUUUGUAUGAUUAUUCUUCCUGUUGUUUAGGACUUCUGGACCUGGAAUUUCUAUUCAUUCUAAGAAACGAGUCUUUUCAAAAUUGUACCUGUGCAAAGCACUUGUCUGCUACUGUCCAGCAACAUUUUAUGGAAUGAUAUUCAAAAAAGCUCAAUACAGUAUCUGCUGAAGAAAUUUGAAUGAGUAUUUUCUAGCAUUUUAAGUGCAUGCAGGACACAAUUGCACGAGGGCUCUUCAGGAGACAUAGCUCCCUUCCUUGAGUGAUCUGAAGGUAGCCUUGCUCUUAGUACCAAAUCCUAAAUCCACAAACUCGUUGGUUGCUGAAUUACUGUACUAAUGACUCACAUCUACAUCUAUACUUAGAUACUGAUCAUGCUUCAGGAGUAAUAGGCUGAAAUACUAGUGGGCUCUGGCAAUAGAAAUAGCUGAAGAUGACAAAUAUAAAUAAAAAUUAAUCUUUGCAUCCUAGAUGUCUAUUUGUCUCUUCCUUUUGUAUUUUUCUUUCAAUCACAAUGCAGUUUCAAGAGAACUUUGCUAUGGUGUUACUGAGUUGCAACAGUAACUACAUGAGAAC